UGCACGGUGGCGCAGUUGGUAGCACUGAAGAAGGUCCUAGGUUCAAUUCCUGGCCGGAGGUCUUUCUGCAU